GGCAAACGGGGUAGGAAGGAUUGGUGACGUACCCUCCGGACGGGGAUAGCCAUGGGAAACUAUGGGUAAUACCCGAUGAUCACCUAGGUUUGAAUACUUAGGUGCAAAGGUGUGAUUCCACCGGGGGAGCGGCCAAUCUGACAUCAGCUAGUUGGUAGGGUAAUGGCCUACCAAGGCAAUGACGUCUAGGGGGUGUGAGAGCAUGGCCCCCACCACUGGGACUGAGAUACUGCCCAGACACCUACGGGUGGCUGCAGUCGAGAAUCUUCGGCAAUGGGCGAAAGCCUGACCGAGCGACGCCGCGUGCGGGAUGAAGGCCUUCGGGUUGUAAACCGCUUUCAGUAGGGAAGAAGCGAAAGUGACGGUACCUACAAAAGAAGCACCGGCUAACUAUGUGCCAGCAGCCGCGGUAAUACAUAGGGUGCAAGCGUUGUCCGGAAUUAUUGGGCGUAAAGAGCUCGUAGGUCGUUUGUUACGUCGGAUGUGAAAUUCAGGGGCUCAACCCCUGACUUGCAGCCGAUACGGGCAAGCUAGAGUUUGGUAGGGGAGACUGGAAUUCCUGGUGUAGCGGUGGAAUGCGCAGAUAUCAGGAGGAGCACCGAUGGCGAAGGCAGGUCUCUGGGCCAAUACUGACACUGAGGAGCGAAAGCGUGGGGAGCGAACAGGAUUAGAUACCCUGGUAGUCCACGCCGUAAACGGUGGGCGCUAGUUGUGGGAACCUUCCACGGUUUCUGCGACGCAGCUAACGCAUUAAGCGCCCCGCCUGGGGAGUACGAUCGCAAGAUUAAAACUCAAAGGAAUUGACGGGGCCCCGCACAAGCAGCGGAGCAUGCGGCUUAAUUCGACGCAACGCGAAGAACCUUACCAAGGCUUGACAUAUACAGGAAUAUGGCAGAGAUGUCAUAGCGGUAAAACGUCUGUAUACGGGUGGUGCAUGGUUGUCGUCAGCUCGUGUCGUGAGAUGUUGGGUUAAGUCCCGCAACAAGCGCAACCCUCGUUCUGUGUUGCCAGCAUUAAGUUGGGGACUCACAGGAGACUGCCGGGGUUAACUCGGAGGAAGGUGGGGAUGACGUCAAAUCAUCAUGCCCCUUAUGUCUUGGGCUGCACGCAUGCUACAAUGGCUGGUACAAACGGCUGCGAUACCGCAAGGUGGAGCGAAUCCGAUAAAGCCAGUCUCAGUUCGGAUUGGGGUCUGCAACUCGACCCCAUGAAGUCGGAGUUGCUAGUAAUCGUAGAUCAGCAACGCUACGGUGAAUACGUUCCCGGGGCUUGUACACACCGCCCGUCACGUCACGAAAG
rnacentral:rRNA from 1 species